UACGUAGGGUGCGAGCGUUAUUCGGAAUUACUGGGCGUAAAGCGUGCGCAGGCGGUGAUGUAAGACAGGUGUGAAAUCCCCGGGCUUAACCUGGGAACUGCAUUUGUGACUGCAUCGCUGGAGUGCGGCAGAGGGGGAUGGAAUUCCGCGUGUAGCAGUGAAAUGCGUAGAUAUGCGGAGGAACACCGAUGGCGAAGGCAAUCCCCUGGGCCUGCACUGACGCUCAUGCACGAAAGCGUGGGGAGCAAACAGG
rnacentral:rRNA from 1 species